rnacentral:rRNA from 1 species
UGGUGGAGUGAUUUGUCUGCUUAAUUGCGAUAACGAACGAGACCUUAACCUGCUAAAUAGCCCGACCCGCAUCUGCGGGCCGCUGGCUUCUUAGAGGGACUAUCGGCUCAAGCCGAUGGAAGUUUGAGGCAAUAACA